rnacentral:rRNA from 1 species
GAUGAACGCUGACAGAAUGCUUAACACAUGCAAGUCAACUGUGGCGGACGGGUGAGUAACGCGUAAAGAACUUGCCUCACCGCUAGGGACAACGUUUGGAAACGAAUGCUAAUACCUGAUACUGUGAGAGAGCUUUGCGUCCCAUUAGCUAGUUGGAGAGGUAGCGGCUCACCAAGGCGAUGAUGGUUAGCCGGCCUGAGAGGGUGAUCGGCCACAUGGGGACAGAGAGACGGUCCUUACUCCUACGGGAGGCAGCAGUGUGGAAUAUUGGACAAUGGACCAAAGUCUGAUCCAGUAAUUCUGUUUGCACGAUGAAGUUUUCUUAAUGUAAAGUGCUUUCAGUUGGGAAGCGGUGCCGACAGAAGAAGUGACGGCUAAAUACGUGCCAGCAGCCGCGGUAAUAC